AUUUCAACCACUAGAGUUAGUCUCCUAUCUGUCACGUAGUCAAGAUGGCGAUGAUGGAAGGCGUUUGUGGGUCAUCAGAAGUGGUGAAACAUUGAGGCCUGUGGGUGUGCUGCUGCUGCUACGAGGUGAAGGUCCCAGCAGGCCUCCGCUGCCCAGCAGGCCCAGCCUUACACCUGGUAAGCUCCGAGAGGGCACCUGGAAUUGCCGAAGGCUUCUUCUGGCCAUCACACUGCUCCCAACACAGCUUGUGGUGGGAAGAGAGUUGGACUGACCGAAUCCACGACUGCUGCAGAACAGAAUAUGUGUAGUUAGUACGGCUGUGACGGUACUGUAGAUACCGUGUUAUUGCCAUUUCAAAGUCUUCACAAUAAUGCUGUGGCGGUAUCAAACAAAAACUUGGUGUGUAGCUUUUCUCUGACGCUCUAGUGUUGUCUGGGUCUGAAAAUAAACUACAUCUCCAAGAAUCCUCUGUUUUCUUACGGUUUUCACUCAGGGCCGUCACCAGGAUUUGACAAAUACUGAGGUCAAAAAUUGGUGCUUUGAAAGGCUGAAAUCAUGUGUAUUCCAGCACCAUAUGAAUAUUACCUUGAGCAACAUAUUUAACAAUCCACUUUUUUACAUUAUUAUACUGAAGUUUAGCGUAUUAAGCUAUUUUAACGUCAUAAAACUUUACAUACGACACGGGUUUGAACCCAAGACCUUGUGCUUUGCAUUUCAAGUAUGAGUGACACGCGCCAUGAGAUGCACUGGAUGUUAAAAGGCGAAUUGUGUCUUCAUAUUCUAAUCAGUAACAGAGCAUGAUGUGGCCAGGAAUAUGUUUGGGGUCAAAUUUCAUAUGAGGCGCCUUGUCAUUGAAUAAUUUACAUUUCAAAACGCUUCUUCACACAAAACGGGGCCCUUACGAACAGCAAAGCCCUACGCACAGCGUGUGUUCUGUGAUUAGGGCGGGGCGGCACCUGACAACAGUAUUAUACCGACAGCGUUUGACAUGAAUCUCAUUCGGGUGAAAGCAACAUUAGUGACGUCAGUAUACUUCAAUGUUAAUGUUACGUUGAAAGGACAUUUUGAAUCAGAUUAUGUUUAAAGUAAAAGUGGACUUAAUAGCGUUGCAUUGUCUGGAGUUGGAGCAGGCUGUGCAUG